GACGAACGCUGGCGGCGUGCUUAACACAUGCAAGUCGAACGGAAAGGCCCUGCUUUUGUUGUGUGCUCGGGUGGCGAGCGUGUCAAAAACACGUGAGUCACCUGCCCUUUACUUUGGGAUCACUUCUAGAAGCUUGGGAUACUACCGCAAAUGCGCUCUUGCUGCACGGGGUGGUUUCGGUAGUUUCGGCGGGUGGGGAUGUGGUCGCGGCUUAGCUGCCUGUUGGUGGGGUUGUGGCUUGCGAAGGCUUUGACGGGUAGCCGGCCUGAGAGGGUGACCGGCGACAUUGGGACUGCGAUUCGGGCCAGAAUCCGACGGGAGGCAGCAGUGGUGAAUAGUGCACAAUGGGAGGAAGCCUGAUGCAGCAACGCCGGGUGCGGGAUGACGGCCUUCUGGUGGUAGACAGGUAUCGCCUGUGACGAAGCGUGAGUGACGGUAAUGGGUAAAGAAGCACCGGCUAACUACGUG
rnacentral:rRNA from 1 species